rnacentral:rRNA from 1 species
CAGCCGCCGCGGGAAUACGUAGGUGGCAAGCGUUGUCCGGAAUUAUUGGGCGUAAAGCGCGCGCAGGCGGUUUCUUAAGUCUGAUGUGAAAGCCCCCGGCUUAACCGGGGAGGGUCAUUGGAAACUGGGAGACUUAGAGUGCAGAAGAGGAGAGUGGAAUUCCACGUGGAGCGGUGAAAUGCGUUGAUAUAUGGAGGAACACCGGUGGCGAAAGCGGCUCUCUGGUCUGUCACUGACGCUGAGGCUCGAAAGCGUGGGUAGCGAACAGGAUUAGAUACCCCGGUAGUCCCUGUCUCUUAUA